CCUCUUUGGUACCCUUCCCAUCCAUCAGUACACCCCUGCCUAUGCUGACUUUGCAAUAUACUUUAAGAUGCCUACUAAAUAAAUGUCUUGAUCAAUAAAUACGAUCUGGGGAUCGAGCAGGAGUUGUAACUCUCUCUAAUGGUUGUAUAUGUAUUGAUCGAAGGAGUGUUACAUUAGUAUGGUGGGAAUGCACACACUGUCAAUGGAGUACUCAGACGUAAAGAUAGGCAAAGAGGAGGAGUUCAGUUUAAAGUAUUUUUGAGAAUCAAAUGGAGUUGAACAGAAUAGAACAAAUUCUUGAAGGGAAACUGUUCUCACGCUUUGCCAUCUUCUCUUUAAACUAGCAGUGAUCUGUGCAGUUGCAGCAUUAUGGGAUUAACAGACUUUGUGAAUUGGCAGCCAGGUAAUGAGUGAAGGAGAAGGCAGAGAAUAAACCUUGCAUGCCUUCAGUGCUGCUAAGCUGGUUAAAAAUAGAGGCAGAAGAGAGGGAUCGAGCGAAUCGGCAUGGAAAGAAAAGAUGGGGGAUGGAGGAAACAGCUGAUUUGAUUCCUGCAAAGAAGCCACCAGCGACCUGAUGGAGAAAAUCUGCCCAGGCUCAUCAUGUGUAUGACAAUGAUGAGCAUGUUUGGCUGCAUGCUGUUGGCUUGGUUGGCCAGAAGGACAAACUGUGUGAGAGGAGAGCAAGAGGACGAGGGGGGCACGAACACUGGCACCAUGCCCCCCUGCAAGGUCGUUUCCAAGGACAACCUGCUCCCAGCAUCCUCUGCUUCGUUGGCUGAUGGGUAUUAAAGGACCAGUUCCCCUGCAGAGCACAUGGCUCGACUACAGCUCUGCUACCACACUCAUCAUUCCCAUCACUCCCGAGGCUGCUUACUGUACAUGCUUACCAUGCAAACCGUUAUUAUUAUUAUUUGUUUGAUAAGUGAGCAUGGCACACUACAAGCUCAGCAGACCUAAAAAAAAACACAAAGCAAACAGCUUCAAAGCAGCUCGGGCAGAUAGACAGUCAGCAAAAUGGCUACCACAGCCUCUCUCUGGAAUGGAAAGAGGAUUUAAGGGUAGUUGAUAAAAUGAGAGAGACAAGAGAGCACUUCUGAAAAAUUCUUACAAAUGGAGUGCACCACUUAAUAGGUUUUACAGAGUCCAUCAGUCCAUUUUAGGUGAAAAGCUCAUCUGCUAAUCUGCUGAAUAAUCGUAGUACUCAAAAGCCGUUUUCCCUCAUCCUAGUGACCUCAUUUAUAAAGCAAUUUGACAUCCGGGCAUUAGAUACAAAUGACCAUGCUUUGUUAAGUACUUCAAGAAUGUUACAUUAUGAACAGUAUUUUUUUUUAUAUGAGAACUCAUAUAAAAAAUACUGUACAUAAGGUCAUUUAUUUAUACCACUGAUGAUAGUUUGAGUGACACCGCUCUCACAUCUGUAAUGAAAAUAUGAAGCUACAGCCAGCAGCCGGUUAGCUUAGCUUAGCACAAAGACUGGAACCAGGGGGAAACAACUAGCCUUGCUUUGUCCAAAGGUAACAAACUACCAGCCCCUCUCACACUUCCUGGGGUUCUUGUGAUAACAGAGUGUUAUCAGUCUUCUCAUCUAACUCAGCAAGAAAGUGAAGAGGCGUAUUUCCCAAAAUAUUAAAGUAUUUUUUAAGGCCCCUUUACAUCACACCACUGUGUACCCACACAGGUGUUUUCACUUAGAUUGAUUAAUUAGACUUUUUCUCAGGACUGUGUGGGCAUGUAGAAAUUGUACUUGAUUGACAUAUUCCUCAGGGUAUGACAAUUACACCUUUAUUAUUGGUAUUAGUCCGCAGUAGAGUUUGGUGAGAUCAUGUAAUACCCUGCCUUGCACCCAAGGCAUCAGCCAUUGUAACUGAAAACACCUUCAUGUGCACAUGACCAUUAACAAAAUAAUAAAAGGAUUUAACUAGGAGAAAUAAAAGUCAGAUAAUUAACAACUUAUAAAAUUCAGUAUAGGUGAAAACAUAUGGCAGAGAAUUAGUCUACAUUUCAGCUACAUAGAAAGUAGUGAACAAAAAAUAUUUUCCUGGCUGAGAGGCUUCAGUGAAAAGAGAGGCCUUGUAAGUUUCUUUAUUUCUGAAAUCACCUGUCAAAGUAAGACAUUUUAACUACUGUAAGUAGAGAUGGCCCGAUACCAUUUUUUGCUUCCCGAUACCGAUUCCGAUACCUGAACUUGCAUA